UGCUGCAGGUUCUCCGGGCGCUAGCGGGUCAGAUAUGGAGCCAUGAACACAUGGCUAUCCCCAUACUGAGGCCUCUGAACCUUGUCACAACAAGGUAUACGGCCGGACAAUAGGUGGGCUUCAUCCUCAGAUGAGGACAAAAAAAAACACAAGGAGGCAUUGUGGGAGAGGG